GAUGAACGCUGGCGGCGUGCCUAAUACAUGCAAGUCGAGCGAACAGAGGAGGCGCUUGCCUGCCUGACUUUCGCGGCGGGCGGGUGUGUAACACGUCGAUAACCUUCCUUUAUGACUGGGAUUACCUCGGGAAAACGGAGCUAAUACCGGCUAAUAUUUUCAACCGCAAGGUUCAAUAGUUACAGACGGCUUUGCUGCCACUUAUACCUGGAUCCGCGCCGCAUUAGCUAGUUGGUCGGGUAACGGCUUACCAAGGCGACGAUGCGUAGCUGGUCUGAGAGGAUGAUCAGCCACACUGGAACUGAGACACGGUCCAGACUCCUACGGGAGGCAGCAGUGGGGAAUAUUGCACAAUGGGCGAAAGCCUGAUGCAGCCAUGCCGCGUGUAUGAAGAAGGCCUUCGGGUUGUAAAGUACUUUCAGCAGGGAGGAAGGGAGUAAAGUUAAUACCUUUACUCAUUGACGUUACCCGCAGAAGAAGCACCGGCUAACUACGUG
rnacentral:rRNA from 1 species